rnacentral:lncRNA from 1 species
GAGUCAAUGGGAUAAACUGAAGUGACUCAUCAAGAACAUGUAAUAAAAUCCUCAAACACAGAUUACAUUAUGUAUAAAAUUAACUGUUGAAAAAGAACGGAAAGCAACAGAUGGUCAUCAAGAAAAGAUGAAAUUUAAGUAAUCAGGGGGACACAUGCCUCAUGUAUUUUCAUGGGAAAUGAAAAUUUCAAUGGUGGAGCGUCCUCUAACUCUAUUCUCCAGGAUGGAAAUGUCACUAGUAAUCAACAAUAGGCAG